AAUUUUGGGCAAUGGGGGAAACCCUGAUCCAGCAAUGCCGCGUGCAGGUUGAAGGCCUUCGGUUUGUAAACUGCUUUUUUACGGAACGAAAAGUCUUUGGCUAAUACCUUGGUAUCAUGACGGUACCGUCUGAAUAAGCACCGGCUAACUACGUGCCAGCAGCCGCGGUAAUACGUAGGGUGCAAGCGUUAAUCGGAAUUACUGGGCGUAAAGCGUGCGCAGGCGGUUUUGUAAGACAGUGGUGAAAUCCCCGGGCUCAACCUGGGAACUGCCAUUGUGACUGCAAGGCUGGAGGGCGGCAGAGGGGGAUGGAAUUCAGCGUGUAGCAGUGAAAUGCGUAGAUAUGCGGAGGAACACCGAUGGCGAAGGCAAUCCCCUGGGCCUGCACUGACGCUCAUGCACGAAAGCGUGGGGAGCAAACAG
rnacentral:rRNA from 1 species